rnacentral:rRNA from 1 species
UACGGGGGGAGCAAGCGUUGUUCGGAUUUACUGGGCGUAAAGGGCGCGUAGGCGGCCAGCACAAGUCAGUUGUGAAAUCUCCGAGCUUAACUCGGAAAGGUCAACUGAUACUGUGCGGCUAGAGUGCAGAAGGGGCAACUGGAAUUCUUGGUGUAGCGGUGAAAUGCGUAGAUAUCAAGAGGAACACCUGCGGCGAAGGCGGGUUGCUGGGCUGACACUGACGCUGAGGCGCGAAAGCGUGGGGAGCGAUCCGG